GGGAAGGCUGGGUGGCACAGGCAGGUGCAGGGUGAACAGAAUUGGGCAGUUGUCAAACCCACCCUGGAAUGCAAGUCAGUAACAUUUAGUCUGAACGCCAGCACCCCACGAUGAUGGCCUUCUCUGUAAGAUGCCCUCCUGGUCCCCCGCCCCUCUCUCCCCACCCCUUCCCUGCACACACGCGCAUGUGCACACAUGCACACACCUGUCUGCAGCAAACCCGUGGAAGGUCAGACUGAGUCUGGCACAGAGCUCCCAUCUGGCGCGUUUGGCGCCUGUGGCUGAUCGGCUCGUUUGGGCUGAUCUCUGUUUGAUGGGGAGAUCCCAGAUUGAUAUGUAAACGUAGCACCUUUGUGCCUCAGCUUCUUUUCAUCUAAAUUUCAGAAACUGACUUUCAGAACCAGUUUCCCUUUAUUUGUCGUUAUCCUUGAUAAGAUUCCACUCGGCUGGGGCGUUUUAAUAUUGACACCCACUCUUUCUGCUAGUCCUGUGCAAACACGGCACGGCUUGCCUCUGCUGUUUGAUUGGACUCCCCCGCACAGAUUCCCCUACGUAAUGCGCACCGUUUCUCCUAAGCCGCCCAAGUCAUAAGGCGCUCACUAUUUUUGUAUGCUAAAACACCAAGAGGGUCGGAGUUAAAUAAAAAGCAAAUAGUAUUUUUAGAAAAUGCAGGAUCCCAGGGAGAAGAGAUUUAGCGGUGAAUUGCCGACAGGCAGUCCUUCCGAAUUCCCGAAGACUUCAUUACACAGGAGGAGCAUCCACCGUGUAGGCCCCCUCCGCCCUCAGAGGGGCCAGGGCCUCGCCCGAGUGCCUGGGGGGCCUUCCCAUGCCCCUCCUCUGCCUCCCUGCCCUCUGCCUCUCACGGGAUUGACUUGGGCAAGUGGUGCAUUCUCCUCCCACAGCUCCUGCGCAUUCCUGCUGACUCCCAGGGCCGUCCUCACCAGGCACCCCUUCCCUCUGUGUCCAUCCUCUCCCCCUCCUGUCCCGGGCGAGUGCUGCCCCGCGGUCUCCCCGGGGGAGACUGCUCUCCCCGUGCUGGCCAUUGGGCCAAGCGCUGGCUUCAAGCGCGAAGCCAGGGCGACUCGGAGCUGUGGCCUGGCCGUCUCCUUCAGACCAGUGAGGCUGCUCUGUCCGCAGAACUUCCCUGUUGUCCCGCACCACCCCACACGCCCCACUGUAGGACGGCCUGCCUGUCAGGGCAGUCCCCCUUGUGGCCAGACCCCGGCCAUUUCCUACACACAUUUGUUUCCGUUGUUCUGUGCUCUCAUAAGCUGGCCCCAGGAGCCCUCCGUUCACAGCUCUGCCGUUCAGGUUCCAUGGUCGCUGCCACGUUCCUUGUGGGCUCCGUGUGGCGUCCUCCCAGCCUCUGCUGCUCACUGUCUUGCCGGAACUGCUGUGCCUUCCACUGCACACAUGGCUGGAGACCCAGCUGGGCCCUGCCGGGGAGUGGGCUUCCUCUGGCACUGUGGUCGAGUGGUAGCCAGCUGUGGCACGAAGGUGUGUUCCCCGGGUGUGGGAAACAGGUUAUUCCCCGGGGUGUUCCACGGACGCACACCCCCCAUAUUAUGUGCCAAACCUAAGGUGCUGCUUGCUGUCUCAUGGCCAGUGAGCAUACACUUGGAGGCCGUCUGUUUGAAGGUUGUCUCCCUGAGGGUUCUCGGCCAUCUAGAGCAAUCAGACCCUAGUCUCCCUUCUGAUAAGGAUAGCGGACUGUUCCCCUGAAGGAGAGCCCAAAGACAGGUUACGCUGCCAUCUUGUCACUUGCAUGCCCCUAGUGCCUCCCCUUCCUAGUGCGUGUACACCCCUGACGCGUCCCCCUCCGGUCGAACGUGUGCCUAGUGUACAGCCCCUUCCUGCUACACGUGGUUACCUGUAAUUGGAGGGCUUGCACGCCCCCUGAGUGUACACAAGCCCUGAACGGAAAUCUGUCUUCUCUGGGCUGAGAUCACGUGGUCUCGGAGGUGAGCAUUUGCGUGCUUCAUCUGAUCUGACGUCUCUCAUUUUACCCUUCAGUUACACAACCGCCCGCGGACCCAUUCGUUUGGGGGGCUGAUACCGCACACCUGGGUGCAGAUGGCCCCACGGUCACAGUGAAUUCGGCACCAGGAUUUCGGGGGUGAAACCGUUAGGCUGCGAGGAGGUGGCGAGAUGGAUUUCACAGAAGUACGCACUCUAAAGAAAAGUGCAGUGGAGACGUCCUGCAAACGUGUGACAACAAGCGAAUGGAGUCGCGUCCCUGACUGGCCCAAACAGAUGUCCAGACCCUAACCAGACUCAUUUCAGCGAGUCCACGCUGGCCCCUGGCAGCCCGACAGGACAGGAGGGGCACUUCAGCCACACGCAGGGUCCCUAGAUGGUCUGCGAGCAGAGUGGAGACGCCGCCCCGUCUGGAACCUUGGUGACUGGAUACAAGCCACCUGCUCGGCCAGGGGCGGAGUGGACUCUGGCAGGGAACUCCGCCCCCUCCACAUUCUGAGAAGCUUCGAAAGUGCCCUUGUUCCUCCAAUGCUGGGGGCCGGGCUGAGGGCAGCCCCGGGUGCUGUGAGAGACCCUGUUUCUGUGUGAAAUGCUCCUAAACCACGCUCACCCAACCGUGCCAAAUGCCAGUGCCCCUCAGCCCCGUGUCUGCCCUGAGGACCGUGUGCACACCCCUUCCAUAUUAAAUCUGGGAUUCCCGA